rfam:Erinaceus europaeus cont1.027736, whole genome shotgun sequence.
CAGAGUUAGCUGCAGAUUUAAUUCACAUUCCAAGUAACAAUAAACAUUAGAAUUUCUUUUGCAAAGAUGAAGAAGAAAA